AUAGUGUCGUAUACGUGAAUAGUGCCGUAUACGUGAAUAGUAACCCCGACACAACAAGUUCCAAAUUUGAUAAAAAAGUUCACCAAUACUUCGGCAUAAUGAUAUUGAAGAAAAAAUAUCAUUUAAGAAGAAAAUAAUACCCCUUACCUCAAAAUAACCGUACUUCUGACUGAAUUUCGGUAUAGUGCUGACAGAAACCCGCACCGUAUAGCAACACUCAAAGUAUACUCACAAGAAUACGCUCGAUAAUUUAGAGAGAGAAAGAGAGAAAACUUAGUUUCUGGUGUGAUUUUCAAUUCUAACUUAGCCCUCUAUUUAUAGGAAAAUGUUAGAACGCCAAAGGAGACUAAAUUAAUAAAUUAUUAUUAUUUAAAAUUACAUUUCUACGCAUGCCAUUUGAACACUUCAGCCACCAGCCAACCUUGACCCAAUUUCCAGCAGCCCACAUGUUCAAACAAGAGUGGGUCCCACCCAUUAUUUAAUAAAAAUUAUUUUAUCUUCCGAAACUUCAAUAAUUCGUAGAAAAUAGCUCGUUUAUCAGAAAAAUUCGAAACUCGCGACUUUCCAUGGGAAAUUCCAUUCUCUACAACUUUGCAGAAGAAAAUUUUUCCAAAUUCCAAACAGAAAUUGACCGAAAUCCAUAAACGGGCGAUUUUACAGUCUAUAAUCAAUUUUCGGUCAAGAAUUGUGUCCACCGACACACAAAACAUAUGUUAAACAUUUAAUGCCACAAAAUACUCUACCUCCUCAUAUACUCAUAUAUCCCACAUUCAUUAUAAAAAUAUCACCGUUAAUAUAUUAUUAAAAUAAUAUAUUUAAAUGAAUUAUUUUAUCAGAAAAAGAUAAAAUAUUAAUUUUCAACAAUUGUCACAUUAAAAAUUUUCUCCAUCUAUAUCCACAUAAAAUAAAUAUUUUCUUUAUCAUAAUAAUCAAUAAUUAAUUAUUUAAAAAUAAUAUUACAGAAUCACAGUACUGACAACCAGGCCGUUCCCAGGAAAGAGGGGGCUUUCCAAUAAGGAUUUCUCCUUACUGGCGCGCAAUUAGGUGACCAAACCUCUCCUUAGACAGAACUUUCUAGACAUUGCCAAUAAUGUUAUCUGAUAAUAUUAUUCAAAUAAUAUGAAUUAUUGAUUUGAUAAUGGAAAAUACUGUGUAAUGACAAUUAUUGAAACAACAGCAAUACAAAAUAUCAACGCAGCAAUUAUUGAAUCAAUAAAAUAUAAUAUUGAACAGUAACUACUGUAACAAUUAUUGAGUAGUGCCUUCUUACGUAAGGAUCAAUAAUUCAAUAAUACUGUGCAAUACCGUGUGCUACUGUGCAACCACGCGUAUUACUGUAUUUUAACCACCAGGUAACCCAACAGUGUUAACGGUAACAAUUUACGUCGUUAUUUAUAAAACUCAAUCUUUGUCGUUUUCCUUCAUCCAACCGUUUUCCGUUAUGGGGCCCACCAAUGACUGCGCCGUCGUACGGAGAUUCCCGACAAAAAGAAUAUUCCACGACCAAACGAAUAUUCCCCGACAAUAAUGAAUAUUUUAUAACCACUUGCUUAUUUUGUAAACUUUGCACAUUUCACCCAUAACCAAAGAAUUAUAUCAAAUUAACCCUUAUUAAUUUAGAAUAAUGAAUAAAGGAAAAUUCAAUUUUAUUUAUAAUAAGUUGGGGUCUUACAACCUCCCCUCCUUAUGAAAUUUCGUCCUCGAAAUUGACGUACGUACCUGGUAUAUCGAAAAGGUGAGGGUACCUCGCUUUCAUCUCCGAUUCCAACUCCCAUGUCAUUUCCUCAAUUGCAUGGUUUCUCCACAAAACCUUAACUUGUGGUAUAACCUUCGUGCGUAAGACAUGCUCUUUCCUAUCCAAAAUCUCAACAGGUAUCUCCUCGUAGGUUAAAUCUUCAGCUAUCUCGUCUGGUUCUAAUGCAAUAAUGUGGUUCGGGUCUUUCACAUAUUUACGAAGCAUAGAUAUGUGGAAUACAUUGUGAACACGAGACAUACUUGGAGGUAACGCGAGUCUAUAGGCUACGUUUCCUAUUCGGUCAAGAAUCUCAAAUGGACCAACAAACCUUGGAUUGAGCUUUCCUCUUUUCCCAAAUCUUGUAACUCCUUUCCAUGGAGCAAUACGUAACAAUACAUGAUCUCCAAUAUUAAACUCCACGUCCUUUCUAUGAAGAUCAGCAUAACUCUUUUGUCGAUCUUGUGAAGUUUGAAUACGUUGUCGAAUCAUUUGGAUCUUUUCUGUAGUCAUGCGUACUAAUUCUGGUCCCAACAAUGUUGCUUCUCCCACCUCGUCCCAGCAUACUGGAGAACGACAUUUUCGUCCAUACAACGCCUCAAAUGGAGCCAUGCCUAUACUUGCUUGAUAACUGUUGUUGUAGGAGAAUUCCACCAGUGGUAGGUACUUAUCCCAACUUCCUUUGAAAUCUAGGACACAGAGUCUUAAUAGAUCUUCAAGGGUUUGAAUAGUCCUCUCUGAUUGUCCGUCCGUUUGAGGAUGGUAUGCUGAACUGAAUCGUAAAUCCGUGCCCAUAGCUUUCUGCAAGCUAACCCAAAAUCUUGAAGUGAAUCUCGGGUCACGAUCCGAAACUAUGGAUACUGGCAUGCCAUGCAAUCGUACAAUCUCAUUCACGUACAUACGAGCAAGACGUUCAAGGGGAUAAGUCUCGCGUAUCGGUAAGAAAUGGGCAGACUUGGUUAAUCUAUCAACAAUAACCCAAAUUGCAUCUACGCCUUGAGAAACUUUGGGAAGACCUGUAACAAAAUCCAUAGUAAUGUGUUCCCAUUUCCAUUCCGGAAUCUCAAGUGGUUGCAAUGGACCUUUUGGCACUUGAUGCUCCGCCUUUACACGUUGACAGGUUAAACAUCUUGAGAUAAACUCCGCAAUCUCUCUCUUCAUAUUGUUCCACCAAAAUGUAUGUCGAAUAUCAUGAUACAUUUUGGUACUCCCAGGAUGGAUUGCAAACGGGGUGUUGUGUGCCUCCAUCAUGAUUUUAUGCUUCAGGUCAGAAUCGUUAGGAACGCAAAGUCUAGAAUUGACUCGAAGUAUUCCUUCCUCAUCAAUUCUUGCUUCCGGAAUAGCUCCUUCUUGCACUUUCUUCUUCAUACGCAUCAGCCCCAGGUCCGUAGCUUGAGCAGCUUUAACUUUAUCGAUUAAAGUCGGUUCUACUUGUAUAUUCGCCAUCAUUAUGUGGGUCCCUGGAGUCUUUAAUUCUACCUCCAUCCUUUGCAAGUCAUACAAAAUGGGCCUUUGCGUUGACAAUAUCGCACUCGUACUUGCAUAUGAUCUUCUACUUAAUGCGUCAGCUACUACGUUCGCUUUUCCAGGAUGAUAUUGAAUAGUGUGAUCGUAAUCUUUUAACAGCUCCAGCCAACGUCGUUGCCGCAUGUUGAGUUCUUUUUGGGUGAAGAAAUAUUUGAGGCUUUUAUGGUCCGUAUAAAUCUCCACUUUCUCUCCAUACAAGUAGUGUCUCCAUAUCUUCAACGCGAAUACGACUGCUGCCAACUCUAGAUCAUGAGUAGGAUAAUUCCUCUCAUAUUCUUUGAGUUGUCGUGAGGCAUAGGCUAUGACUUUCCCAUGUUGCAUGAGAACACAUCCUAACCCCUUGCCAGAAGCAUCGCUGUAGAUAACAAAUCCAUCUGAACCAGAUGGUAUUGUCAGAACAGGUGCCGAAAUGAGUCUCCUCUUGAGCUCUUGGAAGCUCUUCUCGCAUUCCUCGCUCCAUAAGAAUUUUGCAUCCUUCCGAGUCAGCUGAGUUAACGGAGUAGCGAUUCGAGAAAAUCCUUCCACAAAUCUCCGAUAAUAACCAGCUAAGCCCAGAAAGCUGCGUACUUCGGUCACCGACUUCGGUUGCUCCCAACUUUGUAUUGCUUCAAUCUUCGCCGGGUCAACAGAUACUCCUUGUUUUGACACCACGUGCCCAAGGAAUGCUACUUCCUCAAGCCAGAACUCGCAUUUCUUCAGCUUGGCAUAAAGCUUGUGUUCACGAAGUCUUUGUAGUACCAGCUUCAAAUGGUGCUCAUGAUCUUCACGGCUUUUGGAAUAGAUGAGGAUGUCAUCAAUAAAGACAACAACGAACUGAUCCAAAUAUUCCUUAAAUACACGGUUCAUCAUAUCCAUGAAAGCAGCAGGAGCAUUAGUCAAUCCAAAAGACAUGACCAAGAAUUCAUAAUGCCCGUAUCGAGUCCUGAAUGCCGUCUUUGGAAUAUCCUCAGUUUUAAUCUUCAGCUGAUGAUAUCCAGAACGAAGAUCGAUCUUUGAAAAGAAUUGCGCUCCUUGUAACUGGUCGAACAGGUCAUCAAUGCGAGGUAGCGGAUACCUAUUCUUGAUGGUGACAUGGUUCAAUUCUCGAUAGUCAAUACAAAGUCGCAUACUCCCGUCUUUCUUCUUUACGAAUAAAACAGGAGCACCCCAAGGAGACGUACUAGGACGAAUGAAACCGAUGUCUAAUAACUCCUGUAGUUGGACUUUUAACUCCUGAAGUUCAAUAGGAGCCAUUCGAUAUGGGGUUUUAGAAAUGGGCUUUGUACCCGGUUCAAGGUCAAUAAAGAAUUCAACAUCACGUUCUGGGGGUAGACCGGGAAGCUCUUCAGGAAAUACAUCAGGGAAUUCUCUAACCACAGAAAUAUUAUUCAAAUCUGACUUGUCUUUAUUCAAAUCCAUAACAUGGGCUAAGAAAGCUUGACAUCCGUUUUUCAAUAAACGAAUAGCUUUGUGGCUUGAUAUGACAGUGACUGAUUUUAGUGGUUUAGUGGUUUGAAUUCGUAUGACAGGUUGGUUAGGAAUAUGAAAACUAACAACCUUACGAAAACAAUCAAUUUUGGCAUGAUGAGUGGUUAACCAAUCAAUUCCUAAAAUCACAUCAAAAGCAAGUAUCUUUAAAGAGAUAAGAUCAACAGGUAAUGUGAUAGUGCCAACUUGGAUCAUGCAAGAUUUAUAAACUGUAGAUGUAACGAAGGUUUCACCCAACGGAGUUUCAACAGAUAAAUCAAAAUCUAAUUUCUCCGGAGUCAAGUUUAAACGUUGAGCACAAGCAGGAGAGAUAAAAGAAUGGGUAGAACCGGUAUCUAGUAAGGUAUAAACUUCGCAAGAAUUCAAGAUUAGCUUACCCGUGAUCACCUCGUUUGGGUUCCUCACGUUUUGUCCAGUCACGACAAACGCUCUUCCAGGAACCGCUGAUUUCGACUUAUCCGGGACAGCCCUUGGAAUCACCACUCCUGCUGAACUUGGUUUCGCGAUAGUACAAUCUCGAGCGAUGUGGCCUUCCUUUCCACAGUUGUAACAUACCUUGGAUUGUUGUGGACAGUUUGGGCUGAUAUGUCCCUCCUUCCCGCAUUUGUAACAUCUAACUGGCGGUCGUUCUCCUCCCCUAGCAUUUGUUGUUGGUGCUGGUGCUGCCGUUGAUAUCUUCCCGUCAUUGUUGAAUCUUCUCUUUCUGAAAUUUCCACUUGAGUCACCUCUCCUAUUAUCAUGUCCACGAUUACCACCUGAGUGGUUACCGCCUUUGUCCGUAUUCUUUCCUCCUCGCUGGUUAUCAUCGUUCUGAUGACUACCCUGAUUGUGGUCCCUCGGUUGAGUAUACUCACUAUCUCGCUCUAAUAACUGAGCCCUGUUGACAACAUCUGAAUACAGAGAAAAUUUAUGAGAGAUAAGGUAUUGACGAAUCUCUGGUUUUAGACCUCUCAGAAACAUACGCGUCAUUCGUUCCUCAUUCUCCACCAAAUGAGGUGCAAACCUGGAUAAUUCUGCGAACCUUGCCUCGUACUGAGACACCGUCAUGUUGUUCUGUUCGAGUCUAAUAAACUCUACCUCCUUCAUAUGACGAAUACUUUCUGGAAAGUACUUGUCAUUGAACAGUUUCUGAAAUCUUUCCCAAGACAUGUUAAGUGCAUCUGGCUGGGUACGCUUCACAGAUUCCCACCAGUAAUCUGCUUCACCACGAAACAUAAAGGUGGCGAAUGGAACCUUCUGUUCCUCCGUGCACCCCAAGACAUCGAAUAUCUUGGUAAUUUGCUUGACCCACGUUUCUGCCUUGAUCGGAUCCGGCUUUCCAUGGAAAUCUGGUGGUCCCAACUCUUUGAAUUGUUUGGCCGUGACAAACCGCACGUUACUAUCAUUUCCUCCCGUAUUUUGUACACGAGUCUCCCUCGUCUGAUUUUGCAUGAACUGCAAAAAGCUUCUAAACAUCCCGUCGUUCAUCAUUUGCUCAGUGGCGUUGUUCACAGGAGGAACAUUGCCAGCCUGUUGCACGUUCUCCUCGUUGGUGAGUACCGGCGUCUCCACGGUCUCAUAAACUCCAUUGUUAACGUUCUCAGCAGCCAUUCUUAAAUACUGCCAUAAAACAAGGGUUAAUUAAACAAAUUAACAUAUCACAUAAUAUCCUAUAUUAUGACCGACCAACAAAUAAGCUUAGGUAGGACACACUAGCGAAGGAUUUACUCGUCUCUCCCCUCCUAGUUCUAUUCCCCGAUCUCCGCCAGAGAUCAUAUCCCUAAGCUCUGAUACCAACUGUGACGCCCCCAAAAUAGGUAUACAACACCCAUUCUGAGUCGCCAAAAUACAUGGUAUAGAAAGCAAACUACAACUUUGACAAUACAGAUGUCGUGUAGAAUACGACAAUACAACUGUGAGUUUGAAUACAAAUAUUGUCUUCUAGACAAUAUACACACCCAAAUAAGUCCUCAUUAAUUAUUCAUACACUAUUUUACAGAAAUAGUGAGGACAGCUAAAACAUCUUCCUAGAACCAUCACUCCAUACCCCGACUCGAUCCUGCUAUGUUCUCACCUCCUGAGAAGAAAAAUGGAACAAAAAGGAAAAGGGUGAGCUCAACUAGCCCAGUAAAGAAUAUUAUGACUAAGAUAAUAUACAACAAAUUAUCGUUAGUCUUCAACAGGGAAAAAUCUAAUAGAAUACAAUAGACAACAAGUUUUAGAUCAACAAAUGCAGCGGAAACAGCAAUCCAUUAGAAGAGUCACGUAGAGAAAGAAUUCUACUGUCUUCUAAGGUUUAAAAGUCCAUCAUCAAUAGUUUAUCCCUGUAAUAACAAUCAAUAUACAUCUUUAAUCAUCUUUGCACUACAGGCCAAAGAUAUUCAUUUGUAUCACCAGUUGGUCAUGUUCAUCUCAACACCUGUUCAUCUUUGCACUACAGGCCAAAGAUAUUCAUCAGUUAAUCGUUCAUCUUUGCACUACAGGCCAAAGAUAUUCAUUUAUAUCACCAUUUAGGACUGAGGAUGAUGAAAAACAUUUUUAAAGAAACGAAUCCAGUGAAACAAAAUGACAAGGAUUAAGGAUUAAGGAUUCGUACUUUGUUUUACCCAUGUCCAAAAAUACUUCGAAAAUAAUCAUAUUGGUGUAAAAUUCAAGAAUGAUCAAAACAUGGAUACAAUCAAAGCUAGUAUCCAGAAUAGAUAUUUUGGACAAAAAGAAAAAUUUUUAUUUUUCGGUGAAUAGUGCCGUAUUCGUGAAUAGUGUCGUAUACGUGAAUAGUGCCGUAUACGUGAAUAGUAACCCCGACACAACAAGUUCCAAAUUUGAUAAAAAAGUUCACCAAUACUUCGGCAUAAUGAUAUUGAAAAAAAAAUAUCAUUUAAGAAGAAAAUAAUACCCCUUACCUCAAAAUAAUCGUACUUCUGACUGAAUUUCGGUAUAGUGCUGACAGAAACCCGCACCGUAUAGCAACACUCAAAGUAUACUCACAAGAAUACGCUCGAUAAUUUAGAGAGAGAAAGAGAGAAAACUUAGUUUCUGGUGUGAUUUUCAAUUCUAACUUAGCCCUCUAUUUAUAGGAAAAUGUUAGAACGCCAAAGGAGAC
rnacentral:lncRNA from 1 species